rnacentral:lncRNA from 1 species
CUCAUAUGUCUCAUUUGCAUCAUUUGAAUGUUUUUUUUUUCUUGCUUUUGUUAGUCGGUUUAAGGAUCGGUUUAGAAUCCGGUUUACCAAGUUUUCUUGCUUUUCUCUCUCUUUAUAGUUUAGACUUUUCUUGUUUGGUAAACAUGAUCUACUUGUUGAUCUUGAGCCGAUUUUCAGUUAUGGUAUACACAAGAUUAUAAGUUGAUUCAUCGUCUCGAUAAGUCAUGACCUUUCAUCUACAUGGCGCAAAUGGACUCAAAAGCUCG